AUUGAACGCUGGCGGCAUGCCUAACACAUGCAAGUCGAACGCGAAAGUCACUUCGGUGGCGAGUAGAGUGGCGGACGGGUGAGUAACGCGUGGGAAUCUACCUUGUAGUGGGGGACAACCCGGGGAAACUCGGGCUAAUACCGCAUACGACCUACGGGAGAAAGGGGGCCUCUGCUUGCAAGCUCUCGCUAUAAGAUGAGCCCGCGUCCGAUUAGCUAGUUGGUAGGGUAAAGGCCUACCAAGGCGACGAUCGGUAGCUGGUCUGAGAGGAUGAUCAGCCACACUGGGACUGAGACACGGCCCAGACUCCUACGGGAGGCAGCAGUGGGGAAUAUUGGACAAUGGGCGCAAGCCUGAUCCAGCAAUGCCGCGUGUGUGAAGAAGGCCUGCGGGUUGUAAAGCACUUUCAGUGGGGAAGAAAAGUUUAAGGUUAAUAGCCUUGGAUCUUGACGUUACCCACAGAAGAAGCACCGGCUAACUCCG
rnacentral:rRNA from 1 species